UACGUAGGGCGCAAGCGUUAUCCGGAAUUAUUGGGCGUAAAGAGCUCGUAGGCGGUUUGUCGCGUCUGCCGUGAAAGUCCGGGGCUUAACCCCGGAUCUGCGGUGGGUACGGGCAGACUUGAGUGAUGUAGGGGAGACUGGAAUUCCUGGUGUAGCGGUGAAAUGCGCAGAUAUCAGGAGGAACACCGAUGGCGAAGGCAGGUCUCUGGGCAUUAACUGACGCUGAGGAGCGAAAGCAUGGGGAGCGAACAGGAUUAGAUACCCCAGUAGUCC
rnacentral:rRNA from 1 species